UAACUGCUUGAAAGCACAAUUUAAAAUGGUGAUUUGCACCUAAAUGGGUGGAUAUUGGAUCAAUUUCUAUGAAAUUAUGUCUAGAAAAGGAACGAAGUUGAAAAUAGAUAUAAUAUAUCAUUCAGUACAAAUUAUCAUUCUCAAGCAGAAAACUUCAAAAAGUAUUCAGGAAAUACUUGCAUCUUAUUAAAACAAAUUCUACAAUAGGUGCCAAAUUCCAUAAAACCUAUCAAUAGGAUUCAAAAGAAAUAGAAACAUUGGUGAAUAAGUGAAACAAAGCUAUAAAAUAAUUUAUAUAAACCUCACAGUUCCUACUAACAUUUAACUGUGCAGAACUAAUUAAUGACCAUCAUGUAAACAACGCAUGUAAACUGAUAUUCUUAAGACCACACUUCCUUACUAUGAAACACUUAAUUCAACAUUGGUUAAAAUUGUUUGAAAAACAAAAAAUUAAAAUGCAAAUUCUAAUUAACAAAUUAAAAAAAAAACAAUUCAAAAACUAUUUAAAAAAUUAAAAAUUAAAACUGUAAUAAAUUAAAAAAAAAAAAAAAUGAAUAGAAAUAAAAGUAAAACAGUAAUUAAAAAAGAAAUAAUUGAAAAAA